CGAAAGGACAAGGGGUGCCAUAAAACAACGGGCUGAGAUCAUACCCAAAGAACCUGAUGCCGGUAAUGCGGCCGAAGGGAAGGCAAGGUUAAACGUA
rnacentral:ncRNA from 2 species